CUGGUUAUCAGCACUGUACUGCCGUGUCAUUCAGGUAUUCAGGCAGAUGGACAGAUGAGGUCUGUGUAUCCAGCAUGCCUUUCUUCUGCUACAACAGAACCUGCACACAAUCUUCAUGUGACCGUUAGUAUCACUUUGUGUCUGAGUCCAAGACCUGGUCUGAAGCUCAGAGAUACUGCAGAGAGAAUUAUACUGAUCUGGCAACCACUGAUAACAUGGAAGAAAUGAACAGGCUCAUUAAAACAGUACGUGCAACUUAUUAUGGCUCAGCUUGGAUUGGUCUUUAUGAUGAUCUAAACAGCUGGAGAUGGUCUCUGAAUAAUGCCAUAUUAGAGGGAGGAUUUAAAAGCUGGUAUGUCCAGCAACCAAUAAACUCAGGUGGACAGAGUCUAUGCGUUUAUAUGUCAUAUUCGGAGGGAUUAUGGAGAGAUAGUUUUUGCUCCAUAAAACGUCAUUUUGUUUGCUAUGAUGGAAGAGCAAAUGCUAAUACACGUUAUGUGUUGGUUGACCAGAUAAAAACCUGGAAUGAGGCUCAGAGUUACUGCAGAGAGCAUUACACAGACCUCGUCAGUAUCAGAAACAGGUUUGAAAACUACAGGGUUCGAGCAUUAUUUUCAUAUUUUUACACUCUUUGGAUUGGACUGUACAGAACAAGAUCUUGGUCUGAUCAGAGCAACUCCUCAUUCAGCAACUGGAAGACAGAACAGCCGGAUAAUGCUGGAAACAGUGAAUACUGCACUGCAGUCUCAUUUAGUGACUCCGGGAAAUGGACAGAUGAAAAGUGCAGCACUAUAUUGCCUUUUGUUUGCUACAGAGCCUUAGCAUCAUCACGCCAGUAUUACUUCGUGUCUACGUCUAAGACCUGGACUGAAGCUCAGAGAUACUGCAGACAGAAUUACACUGAUCUGGCAACCAUUGAUAACAUGGAAGAAAUUAACAGUCUGAUAAACACAGUUAAUGGGAGUUACAGCGGCUUAGCUUGGAUUGGACUUUAUGAUGAUCUGAACAGCUGGAGAUGGUCAUUGGAAGACGAUGAUUUCUAUCAGGAAGAAGAGAGAGAUUUCAGAAACUGGUAUCAUGAACCAAACAAUCUAGGGGGGAGCGACCUGUGUGUUUACAUGAAUUUUAUUGAAAACUGGAUUGAUUACCCAUGUGACAGUUUAUUAAGUUUUGUUUACUAUGAUGGUAAGAUAUUCCAAUUGAAAAAAUAUAUAUACUGUAUAUACAGGUCCUUUUCAAAUAAUUAUCAUAUUGUGAUAAAGUUCAUUAUUUUCUGUAAUGUACUGAUAAAACAUUAGACUUUCAUAUAUUUUAGAUUCAUUACACACAACUGAAGUAGUUUCAAGCCUUUUAUUGUUUUAAUAUUGAUGAUUUGGGCAUACAGCUCAUGAAAACCCAAAAUUCCUAUCUCAAAAAAUUAGCAUAUUUCAUCCGACCAAUAAAAGAAAAAGUGUUUUUAAUACAAAAAAAGUCAACCUUCAAAUAAUUAUGUUCAGUUAUGCACUCAAUACUUGGUCGGGAAUCCUUUUGCAGAAAUGACUGCUUCAAUGCGCCGUGGCAUGGAGGCAAUCAGCCUGUGGCACUGCUGAGGUGUUAUGGAGGCCCAGGAUGCUUCGAUAGCGGCCUUAAGCUCAUCCAGAGUGUUGGGUCUUGCGUCUCUCAACUUUCUCUUCACAAUAUCCCACAGAUUCUCUAUGGGGUUCAGGUCAGGAGAGUUGGCAGGCCAAUUGAGCACAGUAAUACCAUGGUCAGUAAACCAUUUACCAGUGGUUUUGGCACUGUGAGCAGGUGCCAGGUCGUGCUGAAAAAUGAAAUCUUCAUCUCCAUAAAGCUUUUCAGCAGAUGGAAGCAUGAAGUGCUCCAAAAUCUCCUGAUAGCUAGCUGCAUUGACCGCAGCUGACAUGGCACCCCAGACCAUCACUGACUGUGGGUACUUGACACUGGACUUCAGGCAUUUUGGCAUUUCCCUCUCCCCAGUCUUCCUCCAGACUCUGGCACCUUGAUUUCCGAAUGACAUGCAAAAUUUGCUUUCAUCCGAAAAAUGUACUUUGGACCACUGAGCAACAGUCCAGUGCUGCUUCUCUGUAGCCCAGCCCAUGCAACCAUUUUGCAAUAUGCAUAUGCAAUAUGUGCACGAUAUGGAUGCAAGAUAUGGAUGGCCAGACAAAGGAAAAAUCAUUUGACUGAAUAAAAUUAUGAUUUAUCUUAGAAAUGGCCUCUCAGAAAUAUGUUUUGCUAAAUGAGAGAAGGACCUGGACUGGAGCUCAGAGCUACUGCAGAGAGAAGUACACUGACCUGGUCAGUGUGAGAAAUGAAGCAGAGCGUCAAUGGAUAGUGAGCCUUUCACGCAUUGAUGUAUGGAUUGGUCUGCACAGAAACAGACUGUGGUCAGAUCAGAGCAGCUCUUCAUUCACAUACUGGCUACCAUUAACACAAAGUGAUGUUGCACAACCAGAUAAUGGUUUAAAUAUCAAAGGACAGACGGGAGUUCAAAGCUGCACAGCUGUGUCUUUACAGCAUUUCGGCCAGUGGACAGAUGAGCGAUGUCUUGCCAGUUUGCCAUUCUUUUGUUAUAAUGAUCCAUCAAGUCAACCCAAUCAUUCAACCCAACCCCAACCCAACCAGGAGUAUGUGAUGGGAAUGAGAGUGAAAGUUACAAGUGCAGACAAUCUGUCAGAGUCUCAGAUUGUGGAGCUAAUUACACCAUUACAAGAGGAGCUGAUCAGACUUGGACUUCCCAGCAAUGUCAGCAUGCAUCUGAGAGGUUAUCGUAAAAUCAAUCCCUGAGAGAUGGAGACAGCGCUUUGCAUUUUCCAGAACAAGUUUAGGCCUUGACACUUAAUUGAGCAUAAAAUUAUACUGUAGUCUCUGGUUAUGAGUUAUGAAUCACCUCUAAUCUAAUUAUAAAUGAUCCAGUUUUAUGUCUAUUUACCUUUGAAAUCAGUGAAGGGUUUUUAUCAAUACUUAUUUUUUUAAUGUUGUCAGAAUGAUGGAAAAUUAUACUUUACUGAUGAUUGACUGAUGAUGACUUUACUUUAAUGAUACUGUAGUGUCAUAGAGCUGUAUAGAGACUGAACAAUAAAUGUCUUUACCCCGCUAGAAAUUUGACGUUCCCAGAACGUCCUCAGAACGUCCCCAUUGGUGUCAACGACGUCCCCAUAACGUUCUGAGAUGGUCACAAUGUGGAGUUCUUUAAAGGUUUGGGGAACGUUAUUUGGAGGACCUUCACAGAACAUUCAGGACAUUCUUGGGAUGUUUAGAGGACCAUAUUUUACUUGGAAAUGUGAUGUUCCCCAAACCUUGUCAGAACGUCCACGCUGGUGUCAAGGACGUCACCUAGUAACGUUCCCAGGACGUUCCAAGACGGUCAUGAUGUGGAGUUCUUUAAAGGGUUAGGGGACAUUAUUUAGAGGACAUUCACAGAACAUUCAGGAAGUUAAUGGUUCGGAUCUAUAUUUUAUAACUUGAGCCAAUGAAAAAGUUUUAUUAAACCUGGCAUGAAAGUAUUUUUUUCUUGUUGAAGAAAGU